rnacentral:rRNA from 1 species
GACGAACGCUGGCGGCGUGCUUAACACAUGCAAGUCGAACGGAAAGGCCCAGCUUGCUGGGUACUCGAGUGGCGAACGGUGAGUAACACGUGGGUGAUCUGCCCCAAACUUCGGGAUAAGCCUGGGAAACUGGGUCUAAUACCGGAUAUGACCUGCUCCUGCAUGGGGGUUGGUGGAAAGCUUUUGCGGUUUGGGAUGGGCCCGCGGCCUAUCAGCUUGUUGGUGGGGUAAUGGCCUACCAAGGCGACGACGGGUAGCCGACCUGAGAGGGUGUUCGGCCACACUGGGACUGAGACACGGCCCAGACUCCUACGGGAGGCAGCAGUGGGGAAUAUUGCACAAUGGGCGCAAGCCUGAUGCAGCGACGCCGCGUGAGGGAUGACGGCCUCGG